rnacentral:tRNA from 7 species
UGGUCGGGAUAGCUCAGCUGGUAAAGCAAAGGACUGAAAAUCCUCGUGUCACC